rnacentral:rRNA from 1 species
UACGGGGGGUGCGAGCGUUGUCCGGAAUCACUGGGCGUAAAGGGCGCGUAGGUGGCCUGAUAAGGGUGUGGUGAAAGUCCGGGGCUCAACCCCGGAUCUGCCGUGCCGACUGUUAGGCUAGAGUACUGUAGGGGCAGGCGGAAUUCCGGGUGUAGCGGUGGAAUGCGUAGAGAUCCGGAAGAACACCGGUGGCGAAGGCGGCCUGCUGGGCAGUUUAGCUGACACUGAGGCGCGACAGCGUGGGGAGCAAACAGG